UCCCGCCUGGCGCGCCUGGCUGUUGCCUGGAGACGGGGUGAAACAGUCCGGCCCCAGGGAAGAAAGGGGUGAAAGUGGGGAGUAGCAGCAGGAGGAGCCCUAGGGGGGUGGCCUGCGAAGACUUCCCACUCCCACAACCCAGGGGUGAAGGGAUGGGGUCCCCAAAACUGUGCUCUCCAGAGAUCACAGCUGAAUUCCAGGGUCGCUCUGGAGUAAUUAGCAGGUUUGCCAAUUCACAACUGGGGAAAAUGGCCAACUUUUGGCCUCUAAAAUAUUAGAUGCUUCAUACUUCGUUUUUCUGCCUUAAAAUGUUGUUCCUGCCGCUUGCACACACGCUGACAAGUUUAAGUGUGUAUGUGGACGAUUGUCAGUCAUCUGCACAGGUGCCAGCGGGAGCCAAGUCCUGUGCUGGGAUAGAAGAGCCUGAUCCCCUGCCCUGGUGGUCUCCGGGAUGGAGGAAAGCAAGGAGCUGUUAUCAGAAAUGUAAAGUAUGCAAACACACACAGGUGAAUUUAAAACGAAGUCUGAAGUAGGUAGGUGAAUUGUCCCAACGCUAAUGUCCUGCUGGUGAUCUUUUCACACUGGGGGAAAGGAGCGAAGGUUACAUGGCAACUCUAUACAGUCUUUUUAUACUUUUUAUAUGGCAAGAUGCCAGAGGACAUGGUCUGAAAUCUGCCAUUGGACACCCACUCUCCUAAACAGGAUCCCAGGAAAAACUCAGGGCUUCUACUCAAAGGGUGUGUUCUAAGGAGAUCCACAGUGCUUUAUACAGUCGCCACCACAUGUCAUGUGCAUCUCUUCCUACCUGAAUUGCCUCUCCUCAGCUGUUCUAUGAAAUGCUGCCUUUUCCUUAAAACUGUCCUGGAUUGCCAUCCCGGCAAUGAAACGGCAGAAUCUGACAUGGGACAAGCAGGAGAAGGAUUAUCUGAAGUGGCUUUGAGCUGGGUGCAGAAGCGUGGCUGGUUCACUGUUUACUUCUUUCUUUAUUUACCUAUUGUACUAGUCACUCUUCACUCAACAUUUUCCAAGCACCCAUUCUGCUGCUGGUUCAUAUGCUUAAUCCUGGAUACCCAGGAUAAACAGAUAAAAAUCUCUGACUUGAAGAGAUCAUGGAAAGAUCAUGUAAGUCAAGGUAAAAGGAAAGACAGACAUUGCAGUGUCCAGGUAGCUCACAGUGGGGAGAGGCAGUAAGAUGGACACUCUGGGCUGCCAGGACGGUUCAGUGGGUAACCUGGGUAACCCACAUAAUGGGAGGGGAGAACAAGCUCCUGCAAGUUGUCCUUUACAGGUGCCUGUGGCGUGGGUGGCAACCCUGUAGCACAUAAUAAAUGAAUAAAUAAGUUAAUAAAUAUAAUAAAACGUUUUAGAAGAAUAAUCUUUCUUCUCUGGGUAGUGGGGAGCCAUGGGAAGAUUUCUACCACAGUCGUUUAAUGCAUUCCCAAAAAUGGAGGCGAAGAAUUAAAACUCUACCUUCCCUGAAGCUCUCCCCUCCUCUUAAUGCUGACCUGGGCUGAAUUGGUGCCCAAUGAACAUAUUUCACAGGGUGUCAGAGAAUGGCUUAAGUGGCCAUUUGGGUGAGUGACCCUUUGACAUCUGUCUUACAGCUCUGUGUGUAGCAGUUCAUGUUAUGCAUCCUUAUUUCUCCUCUUCAACUCUAGUAGAAGCUUUUAAUGCAACCAGACCGAGAGAUACUUAAGAAAAGAGCUGCUCCAACCCCUCCCCCCACCCAUGCAUUAAUGGCAUACCUGGAAAUGCCACCACACAGGGCUUAACUGCAUGCAGUUCAGGUUUUCUGGAAAUGUAUUUUAUGCUUAGCGUCCAGUUCCUUUGUGUUCUAAUUAUAACUACUGUGAUUGGUUUGAUAAAUGCAUCGCAGGAGCUAAGAUCCCCAUUCUCAAUAUUUUCUUUCUGCGCAAAGGAUGUUUUCGAGAAUAUUUUGCUUUAGGCAGCAGGACUCUGUGCUCAGAGUCUUAGAAGAACAGGAAACACUUUCUUCUGCAAACAUCGGACGCCAUCUGGGAGGCUGUGCUAUUGUUUAGCUUCACAGAGGCUGAUCUGAGAGAGCAGACCUGAGCGCCAGCACAGGAAAGGAAAACGGGAACUCUCCCAUCCAUCUUGCAUAACCAGCUUCGUAUCAGUUUGCGCUGUGUCCCCCUGAGAGGCAGUGUGUAACUGUGCUCAAACCUCAAGAAUCCUAUUUCAUGUGUGAAGAUGUGUUUGUCUUUCAAGAAAUAAGCUCUUGGAAACCCAAGUUGCCUGGGCUCCUGACUGGAAGGAAACCGGCCACUUUACCCUCCAUGGUGGAAACUGACCCCAACACAUACACAUGCGAAACAGGAGCUCAGACUACUGAGCUGUGCCCCAAGCCUGGCUUCUCUGAGACAAGAUCUCACCACAAAGCUCAGACUAUCCUGGACCGUGCUAUAUAGUUCAGGCUAACCUUGAACUCAUGAUCCUUGUGCUUCAACCUUCAAAGCACCACCAUACCCAGUAUCAAAACCACUUUUAAUUGUUGGUUGUUGACAAUCAACUUGAGCCAACCCUUCUGGUUCAGUCCCAAUUUCUGGGAAUUGGGACUCGCUUGGGCGGCUGAAAAGACGGAACAGGAAGAAGAAGGAAUUGUGUUGUAUUGUGUGCUCGGCACAGCUUACAAGUGCUUAGAUAUGCUCUUCGCUGAGCUGGAUUUUUGUUUGCUGUUUGUCUCUCCCUUAGUUGCGUUUGCAUUGCUGUGACCAAAAUAUCUGACAAAAACAAGUUGUGGGGGGAAUAUUAUUUUUUUUGGCUCAAGGUCCAGAAUGUUCAGUUCAUUAUGGUGGUAACACCAUGGCCCAGGAAGUCACAUCAUAACUGAUCAGGAAGUAAAGUGUGAGAAGUAACCAGGGACAUAUGAUCCCCAAAAGCUGUCUCCAGUGACCCACCUCCAGCAACUGGGCCCCACCACUCAAGUCUCUAACACCCCCCCCCCAAAUAGUAUCAUCAGCUUGGAACUAGCUAUUCAAACUAUGAGCCUGUGGGGAUCCUUUUCAGAUUCAGGACACAACAGUCUUAACAAAUACAGUCUAUGCCUUUCAUGUCCUGUGAAACACAUGACACACAGAAGGGCAGAACAUUGCUUCCUUCUCCCUCUCUUACUGUGAUCUUUCAAAGCCCUUUUCUGUUUCAGUUAUUUGGAGCCUCUCUUCUUCCCCCCAAUUCACUGAAAUGUCUCCUUAGAAGGUGAUAGAGAUUAAUUUAAUCUGAGAAGCACUUCCUGUGUCACACAGAGACAUCUGCAGCUGGUGUUCUUUGAAUGGCAGUGUUUUAAACACAUAUGUUUUAUUCACUCCCUCUACCAGCUAGUAAAGGAACGACAUCACCACUGUUGUCAUCUUCUUGGUAGGAUAUAGAGGACACUGAGACACCAGGGACUGGUUAUCCUCAAGAUGACAGGUAUACUAACAGGGAGAGUUAGGUUUGAACCCAGCGAGUCCCAUUCCCCGAGCUCUGACUUGCAAUCUCUCUGUCAUAAAGUCUCCCAGAUGUUUGGUUCUGAGAUGUCAAAUCAUUCCAGCAUCCUGCUGGGACCAGUCUGCAUUUCUCCCAUGAAUGGGAACAUUUUCUUUAGAGCAUUUGAGGUGAGAACUCAGAGGUUAAUAACGAGCCAUGCACUAAUAAUUCCUGGUUGGUAAGCUGACAGUUUGUGGUAGAAAGACAGAGUAGAGUUUAGUCAAGAAAACAUCACUGAAGGAGAUCUCCCAUGGGGAGGAUUUGGGGGGCCUCUGGGGUUCUCAGCUUGGACACAAAGGCUCAAAGCUAUCUGAUGCUAGGUGUCAUGAGGGACUCUUUCCAGCUUGAAGACCCCUGGCUGGAAGGACCUUAACAACCAGAGCUAUCACUGGUGCUGUAGGAUCGCAGCCUUUCUGUUCUGCAAAUGUCAGGAGGGAUGGAUGAUAUCAGCAGAGAAAAGGGAAGCAGUCUCCUCUAUGGAUGGUAGAUAACACCAACAAUAUUGAUGGAAGCGCAGCGAGAUAAGAGAGAGGAGAGAGAAAAAGAGAAAGCAUCCCAAACAGCAGAAGACAGGAGAGAGACAGGUAUUUUAUCUCAGCUCGGAUAUAAUCUGCCAAGAGUCUGGUUCAUGGUCACAGAGGCUCGUGUGACUUGCACAUGAGAGAGGUGUCAGAGCACCAGGCUGAUCUCCCAACUUCAAAUUCCUGCUCUUUACUACCUUUGUGACCUUGAGCAAACCACGGAGAACCUUCUCACGUGGAUUUCCUUAUCUGUAAUGUUGGGCCAAUGAUGCUGUCAUCGGUGCUAUUGCAAGCACUGAUUGUGCUGAUGUAUGCAAAGUCAGCUCCAACAUGCUCGGAAUCCAUCUCAGUUAAAGCUCUUUCCACAUGGGAACACAACUCCCAUAUCAGCCCAAGGGCGAGCACAUGGGAGGUGUUCCUCCAUGCUGAGUGAUUCUUUACAACCCGCCCCCCUCUGGCCUUGGUCUUACAGACACAAUCAGGGCUGAGAAGGCCGCUCUCUUGCCCACCAUCCCCCCAUAGGCAGUGGUGCCUGUCCAAGCUCUUUCAUUAGUAGGUGAACGGACAAUGUCUUGAAUGGGUACAGAAGGCUCUGUGCUGCCCAGACAUUCUUCUUCUUUGCUCUUCCCCAUCUUGUGGAAUGAAUAUCAUUACUGCCCCGACUCUGUGGAUGAGGAAACUGGCUGUCUGGGCUGAGAGCAAGCUCACUGAGGUCUGUGCACUCCCCAUGCCUCCCUGCGCUUUGUAGUAACAUGACAGAUGGAACUGGUGCUGAUUCCUCUUCCACAGCUUUGGGGGAAAUAGCAAACUAUCAUGAUAGUAAAAACAAGUCCCAGGGAGCCAAUUUGUGAGCUGGAAGGAGACAGAGCAGGGAAAGUGACCUUAUCAGACAUGCUGUUCUAUAAUCCCACUGCCACAAGGUCUGUGUGAGCUCCCUUAAUCAGGGGAUUAUGAACCGGCUACGCGAGGACACUAAUUCCCACCCCAGCAACGUUCAGAUUAGAGAAACCCUGAGCGCCCAUGACCCUGUUCAAGAUCUCAACAGGACCAAUGGGGGUGCCCACCGCUGCCUUCCCUCCAUGGUCCUCAGUGCCUCUGCUCUAAAGAUGUGUUCUGAGAGUUCAGUAGGAGCCGCACCACGAUGGCUUCUGGAACUGACCGACAGGAUGUCUUGUAUUGUGGACAUCGGAUGUGACCGUGAUGUAGCUGGACAGAAGCACUGGGAAUAAAGUGAAGGCCCCAGACCUGCUUUACAGCCAGUAUCCCCUUCUCUGAGCCUCGGCUCCCCCACUCAUUUCAGCACCACGGAACCACAAACAGCACCGUAGCCAGAGAGUAAAGUGAUUCUCCGUUAUAUAACCUUGGAGAAAUCACAGCAUCUCUCCCCGCCUAGGUUUCUUUACUUAGAGAGAGAGAGAGAGAGAGAGAGAGAGAGAGAGAGAGAGAGAGAGAGAGAGAGAGAGAGAGA